AGAGUUUGAUCAUGGCUCAGGACGAACGCUGGCGGCGUGCCUUACACAUGCAAGUCGAACGCGAAAGGGGGGCAACCCCCGAGUAGAGUGGCGAACGGGUGAGUAAUACAUCGGAACGUACCCAGUAGCGGGGGAUAACCUCUCGAAAGAGAGGCUAAUACCGCAUACGACCUACGGGUGAAAGAGGGGGAUCGCAAGACCUCUCACUAUUGGAGCGGCCGAUGUCGGAUUAGCUAGUUGGUGGGGUAAUGGCCUACCAAGGCAACGAUCCGUAGCUGGUCUGAGAGGACGGCCAGCCACACUGGAACUGAGACACGGUCCAGACUCCUACGGGAGGCAGCAGUGGGGAAUUUUGGACAAUGGGCGCAAGCCUGAUCCAGCCAUGCCGCGUGAGUGAAGAAGGCCUUCGGGUUGUAAAGCUCUUUCGGCUGGGACGAAAAGGUCCGUGCUAACACCACGGAUCCAUGACGGUACCAGCAGAAGAAGCACCGGCUAACUACGUGCCAGCAGCCGCGGUAAUACGUAGGGUGCAGGCGUUAAUCGGAAUUACUGGGCGUAAAGCGUGCGCAGGCGGUUUGCUAAGAGAGAUGUGAAAGCCCCGGGCUUAACCUGGGAACUGCGUUUCUAACUGGCAAGCUUGAGUGUGGCAGAGGGGGGUGGAAUUCCACGUGUAGCAGUGAAAUGCGUAGAGAUGUGGAGGAACACCGAUGGCGAAGGCAGCCCCCUGGGCUAACACUGACGCUCAUGCACGAAAGCGUGGGGAGCAAACAGGAUUAGAUACCCCGGUAGUCC
rnacentral:rRNA from 1 species